rnacentral:tRNA from 1 species
GAGGAGGAGAAAAGAAAGAAUCUUCCGGAACGAUGACACCAAAAAGGGAAAAUGAGAAAGUA